GUCUAGCCACACCUCCAGGGGUCGCUUAGAGAACCGUCGCGACCUGGGAUGGUUUAGAGGUGUCCAGAGGGGAGGGAACGUCAGUCAUUUUCCUGGUUUUUCACCUGUAGCUUAAAGCUCCACUCGAGCCAGAUCGGGUUCUCCCGGGUUGGGCUUGCUGUGCCGUAGUACAGAUGGCAAAACCGAGGUUUGAGGACAGGAAAGGCUGGUCAGGAAUCACAACUAAGGCGACUUGGGGGAUCGGGUAAUGGCAGAGGUCAGGGAUGUUUGAAGAAGAGUUAAUGCUUAGGCCACGGUGCACUUCGCAGCUGUAUUUCUUACUAGGACUGGAGGGCCAGACACCCAGCUGUCCUCUGAUCAGUGUAGGUGUGUUUAGAAGUUGGGGAAUUAGCUCAGUGGCAAACACGAGGCCCUGCGUCCUAUUCCUAGCAUACACACGCGCUCAUAGACGCGCAUGCACGCACGCAGGCAGUGUUAGGUAUUUUUAGAAGUCUACAGUCCUUGGGCCCAGUGUGGUGGUGGCUCAUGCUUUUAAUCUAGCACUCCGGAGAGGCAGGCUAACCUCACUUGACUUACAUAGACCAGCUGGAGCUAUGUAGUAAGUUUUUCCCAGAAACCACAUGGUAAAAGGAGAGAACCGUCUCUUCCAGGCUGUCCACCCACCUCCACGCGCUCUUAGUGUCAUGUGUGCACUUACAGACAUAACAAUAAAUACAUGCUUAAAGCCGGGCCCUGGUGCUGCACGCCUUUGAGUCCUAACACUUGGGAGGCAGAGGCAGGCGGAUUUCUGUGAGUUUGAGGCCAGUCUGCUCUACAUAGUUCCGGAACAGCCAGGUCUACAUAGCGAGACCAUAUCUCAAAACAGAAAAGAGAAGAGAAGAAGAAAAGAAAAAAAAAAGAGAGAAAGAAAAGGAAAUGGAAAGAGCCAGGGAGUGGUGGCACACACCUUUAAACCCAGAAAUGGAAAGGCAGAAACGGGUGGAUCUCUGUGAGUUCAAAGCCAGCCUGGUCUACAGAGUUAGUUUCAGGACACAAAAACCGUGU
rnacentral:lncRNA from 1 species